rnacentral:rRNA from 1 species
GAUGAACGCUGGCGGCGUGCCUAAUACAUGCAAGUCGAGCGAACAGACGAGGAGCUUGCUCCUUUGACGUUAGCGGCGGACGGGUGAGUAACACGUGGAUAACCUACCUAUAAGACUGGGAUAACUUCGGGAAACCGGAGCUAAUACCGGAUAAUAUAUUGAACCGCAUGGUUCAAUAGUGAAAGACGGUUUUGCUGUCACUUAUAGAUGGAUCCGCGCCGCAUUAGAUAGUUGUUAAGGUAACGGCUUACCAAGGCAACGAUGCGUAGCCGACCUGAGAGGGUGGUCGGCCACACUGGAACUGAGACACGGUCCAGACUCCUACGGGAGGCAGCAGUAGGGAAUCUUCCGCAAUGGGCGAAAGCCUGACGGAGCAACGCCGCGUGAGUGAUGAAGGUCUUCGGAUCGUAAAACUCUGUUAUUAGGGAAGAACAAAUGUGUAAGUAACUAUGCACGUCUUGACGGUACCUAAUCAGAAAGCCACGGCUAACUACGUG